rnacentral:tRNA from 1 species
GCCUUCGUGGUGUAAUGGUCAGCACACCGAGCCGGUAAUUCAGACGUCCGUGGUUCGAUCCCCGGCUAAGGCA